UACGAAAUCUUGAAAAUUCGAAGCUUCUUGAUCUGGAUUGAUUGUGUUGCGCAAUCUGCGGCAGUCCUUGUUAUUUUACGCCUCAUUUUGAUGUGUUUCGUUGUAUUUGAUCAGUGUUCAGCUUUACCAUGGGAGGAGGACGAAAGGUGAAGAAGCAGCAGAAACUCGUCCAUCCUAACAGUCGGAAAGCCGCCCAGAUUAUCAAGAAGAUUGCCCAUAAUCAGAGAGUUGCGAAAACCACAUUAAAAUCGGCUGCGUGAUGCACAUCGUGCACGUCUGUCUAUUUCUACCUAGAGCUGCAAAAGCGUUUGCGGAAGAUGAAGGAUAAAGCAGCACAACGGAAAGAAAACGAGAAGUCUGCAUGUUCAGAAAAGUGAAGUUAAAAGAUUUAUUUUGUGAUUAUAACCAACUGAUAACAAAGCAAAUAAAUUAUGUUUUAUGGUGAUGCAAUCAUACACUCCCUUUGUACUUGAGCGGUACCGGCGAUCAUUUGUGUACAACUAUUUUAUGCUCCACAGAGUCCAAGUUGCAGACGACAGUGUUCAUGUGAAUUAUAAAGCCAAUUUUGCGGAUUUCUAAUGCUCGUGCAUUGUCUAUCCUUGAUUAUUAGAUUCUGGAAAGAGUGCAAAUCAACCAGUACCCCGAAAAUCUCGCGGUAUUUGUCGAUUGUAGUCAUAACAGUAGAUGCGAAUAUUUAGAUCCUUCUUCUCGCGCGUUGUACCUGAAU